GUUUGAUCCUGGCUCAGGAUGAACGCUAGCGGCAGGCCUAACACAUGCAAGUCGAGGGGUAUUAGGAGCUUGCUUCUGAGAGACCGGCGCACGGGUGAGUAACGCGUAUGCAAUCUACCUUUCACAAGAGAAUAGCCCGGAGAAAUCCGGAUUAAUGCUGAAUAGUUUAUAGAACUGGCAUCGGUUUUAUAAUAAAGAUUUAUCGGUGAAAGAUGAGCAUGCGUCUCAUUAGCUAGUUGGUGUGGUAACGGCAUACCAAGGCAAUGAUGAGUAGGGGUCCUGAGGGGGAGAUCCCCCACACUGGUACUGAGACACGGACCAGACUCCUACGGGAAGGCAGCAGUGAGGAAUAUUGGUCAAUGGAGGCAACUCUGAACCAGCCAUGCCGCGUGCAGGAUGACGAUCCUAUGGAUUGUAAACUGCUUUUGUACAGGAAGA
rnacentral:rRNA from 1 species